UACAGAGGUCCCAAGCGUUGUUCGGAUUCACUGGGCGUAAAGGGUGCGUAGGUGGUGAGGUAAGUCGGAUGUGAAAGCUCCGAGCUCAACUCGGAAAUGGCAUUGGAAACUACCUUGCUCGAGGGUUUGAGGGGGGACUGGAAUACUUGGUGUAGCAGUGAAAUGCGUAGAUAUCAAGUAGAACACCAGUGGCGAAGGCGAGUCCCUGGAAAACUCCUGACACUGAGGCACGAAAGCUAGGGGAGCGAACAGG
rnacentral:rRNA from 1 species